rnacentral:rRNA from 1 species
AGAAACUAACAAGGAUUCCCCUAGUAACGGCGAGUGAAGCGGGAAAAGCUCAAAUUUAAAAUCUGGCAAUCUUUGGUUGUCCGAAUUGUAAUCUAGAGAAGCGUUUUCCGUGCUGGACUGUGUGCAAGUUUCCUGGAUACGGAACAUCAUAGAGGGUGAGAAUCCCGUCCUUCACACAGACUCCCCAGUGCUUUGUGAUGCGCUCUCGACGAGUCGAGUUGUUUGGGAUUGCAGCUCAAAAUGGGAGGUAAAUUCCUUCUAAAGCUAAAUAUUGGCGAGAGACCGAUAGCGAACAAGUACCGUGAGGGAAAGAUGAAAAGCACUUUGGAAAGAGAGUUAAACAGUACGUGAAAUUGUUAAAAGGGAAACGCUUGAAGUCAGUCAUGUUUGCUUGGACUCAGCCUUACCUCGGUUAGGUGCAUUUCCUUGCAGACGGGCCAGCAUUCAUGUUGUUUUCCAGAGAAGGAGCGAGAGAAUGUGACUCCCUUGGGAGUGUUAUAGCUCUCACUCGCAUGUGGGGAAUAAUAUGGAGUGGUACAGCACGCUUUGGUGGUGCUUGUGCUGGCAUAAUGGCUUUAAACGACCCGUCUUGAAACACGGACCAA